GAUGAACGCUGGCGGCGUGCCUAACACAUGCAAGUCGAACGGACCUUGCUUUUUUGGAGUACUUGUACAAAGAAAGAGCGCUGGUUAGUGGCGGACGGGUGAGUAACACGUGGGUAAUUAACCUUCUAGACUGGGAUAACAACGGGAAACUGGUGCUAAUACCGGAUAAGAUUCAUUGGCGGCAUCGCCGAUGGAUGAAAAGAGGCCUCUCCAUGGAAGCUCCUGCCAGAAGACAAGACCGCGGCUGAUUAGCUAGUUGGUGAGGUAAUGGCUCACCAAGGCAACGAUCAGUAGCCGGCCUGAGAGGGUGAACGGCCACACUGGGACUGAGGCACGGCCCAGACUCCUACGGGAGGCAGCAGUGGGGGAUAUUGCGCAAUGGGGGAAACCCUGACGCAGCAACGCCGCGUGAAUGAAGAAGGCCUUCGGGUUGUAAAGUUCUGUCAAUUGGGAAGAAACCUCUGAGGUCAAUAGCCUUAGAGAUGACGGUACCUAAGAAGGAAGCUCCGGCUAACUACGUGCCAGCCGCCGCAGUAAAAC
rnacentral:rRNA from 1 species